UAUUUUAUUUUAUUUAUUUAUUUUGUAUAUGUUACAACUGAACUUGUUUACCUCGUAAAAAACAACUAUGACAGAUUAUUACAGGUCUAGACAACCAAACAUACUUUUUGUGACUAAAACAUGAUUUUUCUUACCUAACAAGAAUUUUCUGGCAAUCUGGGUUCACACAGUGGCGGAGCCAGGGUCAACGUAAAAGGGUAUCCCGAACCAAUGGGUUCGGUUUCUUGGUUUUUCAGUUUACCAAACUCAGUUUCGGGUUUAAACCAAAACCCAUUCAAAGGUUUAACUUGUUGAGAAUUGAAAAUCUUGUGUUGUUUUUAUAACAGAUGUAUAGGGCCUAUGUUUCAUUUUAUGGCCAAUGUGGGAUAAUUUUAGAAUUAUAAGAAAUAAGAAAGAAGUUAAAUGGAUACAGGAUAGAAACUGAUAAACAAAAUAAUUAACAUAUGUCAAGCCCAAGAUUCGAACUUCCAACUUCCGGAAAAACACCAUGUCAUCAUAACCAACUUAACCAACUAGAGCUUUUGUUAUUUUUUCGCAAAACACAUUUAUAUGAAGGAAUGCAAAAUAAACAAAAUUUUUCGGAAAAAUUUAUACUACUAAAUUUUUUUUUAGGGGCAUCCCGGGAUACCCCGAGAUCCAAUGUAGAUCCGCCAGUGGGUUCACACACACAUGAACGCACACAUCGACCCAAAGAUGAAUAAAAUUGACAUGUGUGUGUUUUUAAGGGGGUGUUUGGAUAGGAAAAAAAUAGGCUGCUUAUUGUUUAUUGCUUAAUCCCACUGCAAUAAGCAAAUUUAAGUGUUUGGAUAGAAGUUUUUAAAAAUCAGCUUAUUGCGGUAAGAAUAAGCUAAAUAAGCUGAUUUUAAUAAGCAAGAGGGGAAUGCUUAUUACUUAUUGUUUAUUGAUCAUUUUACUCAUAUAAGCUGUUUUAUUUGCCAAACACUUCAAACGCUUAUUGCUUAUUGCUUAUUCCUACUGCAAUAAGCUAAUCCAAACAUAUUUUAAAAAAGUGUUUAUUCCCACCAAAAUAAACAAAUAAGCAAUAAGGUAAUAAACUAAAAACUAUUUAUCCAAACACCCCCCUAAAGUUCUAGAUUUUAAUUUCUUCUAAAAAUCAACCAAAAGAUUGGUUUCAUGUGUUCUUGGCCAGAUUUAUGCUAUGUGUGUUUAUCAUGGAAAGCUUCGAGUUCUUGACAAAGGUUUGUUCAUCGAUUUUUGAAAGACAAAAAUUUUAGGUUCUUGAAAAGGGUUUGUUCAUCAGGGUAGAUAAAAAAACAAAUAAAAACAUAUUUAAACAAUAAUAAGGCGUUCAUGGGUUUUGGAAUUUGUAACACUGUAGUUGAUCUUUGUUCACUUCGAUUUUAAUAUCAAAACCAACAAAAAUAUGAAGUUGAAGUUCUUGAAUCAUUUGAACAUGAACACACACAAAACCCAAAUGAAACACAUGUCAUGUAUCUCAUUAGUAGAAACUGUAGUUUCAACAACAGAAUAAUCCAUAGCUAAUCUGGCGACAAAUUAAAGAGGGAAUAACGACAUAAAUUACAUUUAUCGAAAACUAAUUAAGAGUAAGUGAGGGAAUAGCAGCUGAUGUGCGACAAAUUAAAGAGGGAUUAAUCUCUUCCUAAUCGAUUCUCGAAAAUAAAGCCCUAAUAUCGGUCGCUGGUUUUCGUUUCCCUCCUUAGCUUCUCAUUCCUCCUUAUUCCACACAAAAGUACCUCGUUCCCUCUCAAAUCGACAUACUCUUCUCUCUCCCAAAUUGAGGUCAUCAUCCCAAAAACGUUGUCAGUCGUCGACUACUCCCGUCCCCGAUCUAACCAACUCUACCAGUAACAUCAAGAGACUAGAACAAAAGGUUAGAUGCUCAACCCCUAACACCAGCGAUUCACUCGGGUUAUCGGUGAUCGUAUUCAUAGGGAAAUAAAUGAUGAGUUCAGGGCAGAAGUCGGAACUUGAAGAAAUUGAGGUCCAAAAAUAAGAAAUUGUCAAGACGUAUAACGACAUCCUAAAACUCACCCAAGGAAGUAUCCUACACAACUAAUUAGACUUUUGACACUUAAUUUUCGUGAUUUGGUUUCGAUACUUUGAAAUCGAUUUAGACAUGGACAUUUGAUUUUUGUGAUGUUUCGAUGAAUCUUUAUUUUGAUAGUUGAAUAUUAAUAUUUAGUUUAGUAGUUGAA